rfam:Lupinus angustifolius cultivar Tanjil contig_27158, whole genome shotgun sequence.
GGGCUUAUAGUUUAAUUGGUUGGAACGUACUUCUCAUAAUGGUAACAUUGUAGGUUAGAGCCCUACUAAGCCUA